rnacentral:ncRNA from 1 species
CUCUGGGCCUGCAUUAUGGGCUCAGGGCGUGAAAGAG